GAACACCUAAAAGACACCUAUUUCCUGCAUAUAUGUAUUUCGAAAUUUAAAAAAAAAAAAUUUAAGAUUGUUCAGCUAGCUUAACAGCGCUGAGCUAGCUGAAACACACAUUUUUGCGAAUUUCUCGGAAACCAAUGGAGCUACUAAAUUAGUUUUAGUGGUGUUGAAGUACACCUAAAAUACACCUAAUUCCAUAUAUAUUUGGAAAAAUUAAAACCUAAAUUUAACGAUGGGUCAGCUAGGUUUACGUAAACCUAGCUGACCCACACAUUUUUGCGAAUUUCUCGGAAGCUAAUGGAGCUACUAAAUUACUUUUGGUGGCGCUGAAGAACACCUGAAAGACACCUAAUUCCUGCAUAUAUGUAUUUCGAAAAU